rnacentral:rRNA from 1 species
UACGUAGGGUGCGAGCGUUGUCCGGAAUUAUUGGGCGUAAAGGGCUCGUAGGCGGUUUGUCGCGUCGGGAGUGAAAAUCCAGGGCUUAACUCUGGACUGGCUUCCGAUACGGGCAGACUAGAGGUAUGCAGGGGAGAACGGAAUUCCUGGUGUAGCGGUGAAAUGCGCAGAUAUCAGGAGGGACACCGGUGGCGAAGGCGGUUCUCUGGGCAUUACCUGACGCUGAGGAGCGAAAGUGUGGGGAGCGAACAGG